rnacentral:rRNA from 1 species
AAGACCUUGCGCUUUUGGAGCGGCCGAUGCCUGAUUAGCUUGUUGGUAAGGUAAAAGCUUACCAAGGCUUCGAUCAGUAGCUGGUCUGAGAGGACGGCCAGCCACACUGGGACUGAGACACGGCCCAGACUCCUACGGGAGGCAGCAGUGGGGAAUUUUGGACAAUGGGGGCAACCCUGAUCCAGCCAUGCCGCGUGAGUGAAGAAGGCCUUCGGGUUGUAAAGCUCUUUCAGCCGGAACGAAACGGUUACGGUUAAUACCCGUGACUACUGACGGUACCGGAAGAAGAAGCACCGGCUAACUACGUGCCAGCAGCCGCGGUAAUACGUAGGGUGCGAGCGUUAAUCGGAAUUACUGGGCGUAAAGCGUGCGCAGGCGGUUUUGUAAGUCAGAUGUGAAAUCCCCGAGCUCAACUUGGGAACU